CAACUACUCCCUUUGUCCCAAAUUUCUUGUCUUAGAUUUGUCUAGAUACGGAUGUAUCUAACACUAAAAUGUGACUUGAUACAUCCGUAUCUAGACAAAUCUAAGACAAGAAUUUCGGGACGGAGGGAGUACUUU
rnacentral:pre_miRNA from 1 species